rnacentral:piRNA from 1 species
UACACAAAGAUUGUUGUGGGUCGGAAA